UCAGAAAUAGAAAAACCAUUUGUUCUCCGCUGUCGUAACAAAUGAGUUCCUGUCCUCCUCCCUCCAUCUGUAAGGGCCUCAAAUUUUCAUCUUUCUUUUGGGAUUCGUUCACUUCCUGUCCACGAAGUAGUGGAAUGCCUAAAGCUAAUGGAAGAGUAGGAUGCUCUUGGAAGUAACGCGCUUACGUUGCGUCUUCCACAAAUAGCCAGCCUCGCAUGUGGAAUUUGGUUUGCUAUGCUUUCUUGUCGGAUGCCAUUGCCCUGCAGACUAAUCUGCGUCAUUUGCAGAGUGUCAUAAUUUGACUACAUGCGCAUAAGUGAACCUGUUGUUCAUGUAAAUUGUAGUGGUAUAGCUAUCGAAACUGUCUUGCAAGGCUGAAACCAAUUUGGGGCUUCUAUUGUCAUUUCUACAGACUCAGCAAAUUGUCAUGAGUUAAUGUUUCUUACAUUCUCUUUUGUUAGCGAAACGGGGAACUUAACCUUUUUAUGGGGAAUCAAAGGAGCCUCUAGUUGGGAACACGAUUAGGCCUGGUCGCAUGAGUGAGAGACCCUGUGUCAUUAAAUGUUUCUAGUUGGUUUGCGAUUUUAUGAUAUCUAGAAACAUUAUUCAAUAAAGAAAAUAGCAUGGUUUGUAUAGGCAGGAUGUGCACAUGAAUAUUGAAGCUUCAUACAGCUAGGAGCUGAAACGAUCAUACUGUCUACAAAAAAAAUGUGUCUACAAAAAUAAUAAAUCAAUUGAGACCCUAUGAAAAUUCGAAAACAUACUGAGAAGCCAGCACUGUAGUUUUUGCUGCAUACGAGUUUGAAAAAUUAUUAUUUAGUACUAACAAAACUGAUGUGUUUAUUCAUGGCUCAUCCAGGUCGAUGCUCUCUAUAACCUAUAAACUUUUCCCAGGUUGUGUUUGUUCGAUGUUCUCCCAUCCUCGAUGCAUCCUUUCCAUGUGUGGAGUCCACAGUAAGGCGUCCUCACUGCAUGUAGAACUCCAUCCACUCUGAACUGCUGGAAGGGGAGCACUCGGUUUCAGUAUCUCCUUAACAAAGUGUUGAUUGUCAAUAUUGAGAAUUGUCACAACUUUGAAAUCUUCUGGAGGAAAAAAUGUAUCCCAUGCUGGGCAAAACCAUCCAGUACGAACGAGUUGCAAAUGGCCUUCUAUAUUGCAGAAUGGUAAGUGUGUCUCUAUAUUCUUUCAUCCCACCAAUUAUUGGUACGUACAUCUCAGAAUUCGCUAACAGUUCUCGCUCCAUCUCGAUCUUGACAAUAAUCCAUCCCUCUUUUGCACUAAUCCCUAACAUUUAUGCACAAGCUCGAAAUCCACAAUGCCCAUCUAGUGCAACGUUUUCCAACAUGAGAUACAUUAUACUCCAGUUUCCUUGU